AUGCCUCCCAUCUUCCCUCUGCAAGCCACAGGUGUCCGUACCUGUGUUUGUUUGCAUGUGGGACACUUCACUGAACAAAGCAACACCUGCUUUAGGAGGGCUGGAGCCACUGUCACGGGAGCUUUGGAGGAGAGGCCAGAGGACACGUUAGCCAGGUGUGUCCCGAGGAGAUUCCACCUCCUGCAUGGGCCUGGGUGGGGUGAUUGCUCUGCUGUCCCUCCCUUUUCCCUGAGAUCAAGGUCAAGAGGCAGGCUGGUACCACUUGGCUGGGGAGGCAAUAAGCCAUUUUCCAGCCUGUUCCAAAUGGAAGGCCUGGAUGCCGGCCAGACCACUAGCGUAUGUUGGAAUCCCUCCCUGGAGACUGGAGAAACUCGGCCAUCGUCUGCUGUGCGCCUGACUCCUUCCAGACAAAUGCUCCUGUCCUUCCUCAGGAGCAUGACCUUCUUUCAUCAUUAGCAGUGAUAUUAUUGAUAAUUAUUAUCCUUACUGUGCUCAUCUAUCAUGCAUCUUCCUUGUGCUGUGCUCUGUUUGUAUCCCAUUGACUUCUCAACCCAUCCCUGAGAGGCAGAAGUGAGGUGCAGAGAAGGGCACGUUAAUUAUCAUCCCCCCUUUUUUUCUGCUGAGAAAACUGAGGCCAGACCAGUGCGUCUGAGAACCCACAUCUAGAGAGCUGUGAUUCAGAUCCGCCGCUGCUGGCUCCCCAGGCUGGGUGGCUACCCGGUGUCUCCCUGCGUGCACGCUCUCCACCGUGAACCCUCUGGAACGGACCGUCCCAGGACGGGGACUCCGAGGCUGGGGCUGUUUGGGUCCUGGAUCAAGGAUUUCAAGUGUAGGUCCUGGAAGGGGGACAGGAGCAUGUGCACAUGUUGAGCAGUCUGAGAACCUCCCAGCAGUAAAGAAGCAUUAGAGAGCCCCCAGUGAGACCUGUAAUGUCAGGGCGGGUAAAGGGGUGGAGAACUGGCAGGUCCCCGGCUGCCUGGCCCAGGACACCAUCUCCCAGCCUGCUGGGCAGUCACCGGGGAGUGCAGGGCUGGCCCUGGGUUGCCAGCACCAGCCCCAGGACCAGCAUCGUGCUCUCUGCCAGCUGUCCCCCGGCACCCUGGGCCAUGUCCUGGCACGUGCCCUUGACGCCCCCCCCCAGAAUGAAUGCUAGUUGGGCUGGGUGCCCUGAUGGAACAACCAAGCAGCUGUGCUCAGGGACCCCACAGGAACAGUCAGAGUCCCAUUGUCCUGUAGUGGCCUGCCCCACCUCUCCUGCCCUGCCUGCCCCACGGGCCUCUGGCCUCGGUCAUUCCGUGACAGGGACAUGGGACAGGCCGGCUGAGCUGAGUGCUGAGAGCCCAGAGGGACAGAGUUCAUAAUCUCCAAGCGGAAAAGAAGGAGCCCCUCCAAGAGACUCAGGUCAUCAGAAUCAAGUAGGUGGCCAGAUGUCCCCGGAAAGUCACUUCUGGGAGAUUAGACCUUGGGCAUUUUCUUGCCUCUCUUUUUUUGGGGGGCGGGGCGGUGUGUGUGACAGAGGACAAAAUAGUGCAAACCACAGUGACUGAAGAGAGGAACGAUUCCCCCAGAGUGAGAAGAGGGCAGCUGUCAGGAGCAAAAUGGAAUGGUCGAAAUGUAUGAAAAAUUGGCUCCAUAGAUUUGGGAGUGUAAGUCUGUGUUGUUUGUUUUGAGUCACUGGGAAAGUCAUAAAUUGUUUUAUCAAGAGAGAUGAUAAAAGCAGAGGGAGCCCUGGGAGAGGCAGGACAGGCUGCGCGGUACCCCAGACGUACCCCGCACCCAUCCUUCGGCCAUGGUACGGACUUGCACCUGCUGGAACUCGAGCCAGCUGCUUUCAUGAGGCUCCAUCCUCUGGCCCUGGGUCCUUCCCGCCAUCCCAGGAGGGUGGCUGAGACCUGUCCUGCCUUGGGGUUAAAUCCUGACACAUCCCCAAGGCAUAUGUGCAGGGAACUUGUGUGUUGUGGCAGUUGGGGAAAUCCAGAGCCCUUAUUCUUCACCAUGUGGCUAAGCAGCCACCAGUGAUCCCAGGGGCUGUCCCACUACGGUCUUAAGGAAUGAGAGAAUCACUGCACGUCCAGUCCAAAGCAUUGUCCCAGCAAUCUGGGUGAUUCUGACCAGGGCUCUGUAUGCUGGUAGGAAGGGAGUUUCCAAACGUUCACACUUCGGGGGGACGGAGUCUCUGAGAGGUUUGUGAGAGCUCGGGCUGGUCGGCAGGAGCCCAGGGCAUCCAUGUAGCAACGUUUCUCCACCAUUAUGCCAGUGGUUCUCAAUCUUGGAAGAUUCUGUCCUUUCGGGGGAUCUUUGGCAAUGUCCGGAGACAAUUUUGGUUUUCACAACUUGGUGGGGGGUGACCUUCUACUGGCAUCUAGCGGAUAGGAGCCUGCGAUGCUGUUGAGCACCCCCAACAACACAGAAUGAAUGAACUGGCCCCAAAACACCAAUUGUGGUGAAAUGGGGAAAGCCGGCGGUGGGCAAUGCUAGCUCCAAAGCUCUACCUUUCCCCCUUUUGUGAGUCGUCGAAUGCAUCAGAGCUCUUCUGGGCAACAGCAGGGAUCCCGGCUGCAGCCCUGAGGUCAGAUAAUCCCAGCAGAGGGCAGUGGCCUGCAGCCUAGCAAGUCUUGGGUAUCCAUGGACUCCCCAUUCCCACCACCUUGGGCUCUCAAGGGGAGACUCGGCCCGGAUGGAGGAAGCCCUACAAAGCGGAUGGGAAGGCGAGGCUGAACUUGUCCCAGUAGCUGUGGUCCCUGGGACCGGAGGGACCUGACUUCUGCUGCAUCUGAGAAGCGCUUCUUGGGGGGGGGGGCAGCAGGGAGCUUGGAAAGGAUGAGGAUGGGAGGGGCUGCCUAACAGCCUGUGGACAAACCUGCAUCUUAACCUUGUUUUUGACUCUCCAUGUGCCCCAUCCCACCCCCCCACCCCUGAUUGAAGGCAUAGUCACACUUUCUACUAUUUAAAGUUUUGCAGAAACCGUAUUGUAACGAGCCGCUCUCCAGACACCAGUUCUUCACGCAGAGAGAAUCAGAAACGUUUCUGUGUCUUACUAAUGUUUUCAUAAUCAACUUGUAAGUAGUUUACUUAAUUAAAAAAAAAGGUAUUUUAACUAUUCUUGUAACCCUUUGCUACUCAACACCCCCCACCCCCAGUUUUGCGAUGAGAUCACUAACUUUUACUACAGUGAAAAGACGAUUUCUUAAUGGAGGGCUUCAAGGCGCUCUUUGGUGAAAAAUAUCUAACCUUGAUGGAUGUAAAAAUGUGGCUGUGGAGUCGUGUCCGUUGUCAGCACUAUUGCUUUUGUCUUUUUCUAUUAUGAUCAUUAAACACAAAAACCAAAAACAUUACCUCCUAAGUGUCUGAAUCCAACGUGUGCUUUAGCUAAGGAUGCCAUCUAUUUGUCGCAGCUAGGCUCAGCUCCAGGUACGUCCGUCCUGGUGCCCCGUCUGCCCCACUCAAGGAAAGAUGACGACCCCCCUCCCCGGGACCCUCCCCAGGCCCCCCGGCCUCACACCUGGAACAGACCACAGGAGCCGCAUCCACUUCCCCAUCGGGAGCCCUCACCCUGUGAGUCCUCUGAGAGCAAAGUGCAGUCGCAGGGGUCCCCGCGACUUACUCAACCUUUUAAUCCCCCGCACCUAACACCGUGCCUGACUCACUGUCAACACCCAACAGACAUUCAGGGAAUGAAUGAAUGAUAUCUGAAAGACCGGCCCAGUAAAUUUCCGCAGUGAGCCUGAAUUUAUAGUUUCAUUCAUUCACUGAUAGCAGCAAACAUAUGGCACUGACUAGGUGUUCCGUGCAGCUCUGAGCUCUUUACACGUAUUAGCUCACUUUGUUGCCACAGCAACUAUAUAAAGUAGGCACUACUGUUACCCUGUUUCUGUUUUUACGAAAGAGGCAACUGAGGCAGGGCGCAUUUCCUGGCCCAGGGCCAUGUAGCUGGUGUCUCUCGGUGGCAGGACCAGGACUGGAAUCCAGGCAGGGCUCGGAGUCCGUAUUCUAAUGGCUGUAAAAUGCCUCCUUGACAUUUGUUGAGCUCCAACUGUGUUGCAGCAGGGGUGCUGGGGCAGGUGAGCGGCCCCUGUCCCGACACAUGCUUGAGGUAGAGAGAGCCACAGAGAAUGUCGCUGUCAAUGUUAUAUGCCCAAAUGAAAAGGGACCAGGUGUUGAGUCCUGCACCAGGGUCCCUACUAAUGGGUCCAUAUCAGGCCCCAAAGGCGGUCCUCUCUGGUCCCACUGAGGCAGGAACAGUGCAAGAAACUGAUGGGCUUCGUGGCUUAGGGAACAGCUGACAGCUAAUGGGAGCUUAGACCCAAAGCCCUGGGCCCCAACUUGAAGUCUGGUCAUCCUGAAAGGUAGGAGGGGUCUACCUCUGGAGCGGGUGUGGGAUGGGGCAGGCCAGUCAAAAAAUCCAUGGACCAGGUGUCAAAGGCUUUAAUGACCAAGAGGUCUUGGGCUGCAGAAAACCCCCCUCAACACACACACACACACACACACACACACACACACACACACACCUCCCACCCUGAUUACAGUCUCAGACCCGUUCCAGUGCUUCUGGUCCCUUCUGUCAAGGAGGGUUCCCAGAGAAGGGGAGGACCUGCACUGUCAGGUCCAGCUCCCUAAUCCGUGGGACCCAGUGUCAAAUGAAAACGCGGAGCUCUUGUUCAUCGUUCGGAAGAAUUUCAAGAUAGUGACCCCAGGGCGACAAACCAAGCAUAGGGCCCUUCUGAGCGCGGGGACCCCUGCGACUGCACAGGUCACACGCCCAUGAAUCAGCCCUGGCCACCUCUGCUCUGAGCUACGCGGCCAGGGGAAGAAAGGAACAGAUUAACACGCUCCACCCCACACCGUCUUCUCUCCUAGGAUGAUGCUUCUCCUAGAAGUAAUGUCAGCUGCUGUGGAAGAGGCAGAAAGGACCAGAAAACGCUCCCCCUUCCUGCAUGCUGGCUCCUUUUACUGUGUGACUGCAAGGCAGUCCUGGGGAUAUGGGUGAUUAGCAGAUAAAGCCAGCUUGAAGGAGCCCUGGAUGUCAGAGUGGGAGGGUCAUGGUGGGCAGUGCGCUGCCAUCAGCUGUACCCAAGCAGGGCUGGGCCUCGGGGAGGAGGGGACACAGUGUCUGGAGGAGGAAUAUAUUGUCUUGAUAUUUUAACGGUUUGAAAUGGGUUUGCUGGCUCAGGAUGUCAACACGCAAUAUUGGGCCCGUAAAGAGGUGAACGUUCGAACAACCACAGCUCUCCAGUCCGGGGAGCCAGCCGGUUGCUGGGUGGUGGGGCAGGUGGGCUCCCUUCUCCUGAACAAGCCUGCCUGUCCCCUGUGGCUCACCCAUGUGUCCCCCCGCCCAGUGCCCAGCCCAGGCGUGGCCAGUGUCAUACCUCCCCACGAGUGGGUGGAUAAAUAAAC
rnacentral:lncRNA from 1 species